rnacentral:rRNA from 1 species
AGAAACACGGACCAAGGAGUGCAACAUGUGCGCGAGCCCUUUGGCGAGCAAACCAGAAGGCGCAAUGAAAGUGAAGGCACGGUCGCCGUGCUGAGGUGAGAGCCGGCCCCGACGGGACGGCGCAUCAUCGACCGAUCCCAUCCGCACUGCUCGCAGUGUGGCGGGAUUCGAGUGAGAGUGUACCUGUUGCGACCCGAAAGAUGGUGAACUAUGCCUGAAUAGGGUGAAGCCAGAGGAAACUCUGGUGGAGGCCCGUAGCGAUUCUGACGUGCAAAUCGAUCGUCAAAUUUGGGUAUAGGGGCGAAAGACUAAUCGAACCAUCUAGUAGCUGGUUCCCUCCGAAGUUUCCCUCAGGAUAGCUGUAGCCCGAAGCAGUUUUAUCAGGUAAAGCGAAUGAUUAGAGGUAUCGGGGAAGAAACUUCCUCGACCUAUUCUCAAACUUUAAAUAGGUAAGAAGUCCGACUUGCUCAAUCUGAAGCCGGACACAGAAUGCUGGGUUACUAGUGGGCCAUUUUUGGUAAGCAGAACUGGCGAUGCGGGAUGAACCGAACGCAGAGUUAAGGUGCCAAAGUCGACGCUCAUCAGAUCCCACAAAAGGUGUUGGUUGAUAUAGACAGCAGA